AUUGAACGCUGGCGGCAGGCCUAACACAUGCAAGUCGAGCGAGCGGCGGACGGGUGAGUAAUGUAUGGGGAUCUGCCUUAUGGCUGGGGCUAACUACUGGAAACGGUAGCUAAUACCGCAUACCUUCAGAUGAACCCAUAUGGGAUUAGCUAGUAGGUGAGGUAACGGCUCACCUAGGCGACGAUCCAUAGCUGGUCUGAGAGGAUGAUCAGCCACACUGGGACUGAGACACGGCCCAGACUCCUACGGGAGGCAGCAGUGGGGAAUCUUGCGCAAUGGGGGAAAGCCUGACGCAGCCAUGCCGCGUGAAUGAAGAAGGCCUUCGGAUUGUAAAGUUCUUUCGGUAGCGAGGCGUUAACUACAGAAGAAGCACCGGCUAACUACGUGCCAGCCGCCGCGGUAAUUC
rnacentral:rRNA from 1 species